rnacentral:tRNA from 1 species
UCCCUAGUGGCUCAGAUGGUAAAGAAUCUGCCUGCAAUGCAGGAGACCCAGGUUUGAUCCCUGGGUUGGGAA